UACGUAGGGAGCAAGCGUUGUCCGGAAUCAUUGGGCGUAAAGCGCGCGUAGGCGGCCCGAUAAGUCCGUUGUGAAAGUCAAAGGCUCAACCUUUGAAUGCCGAUGGAUACUGUCGGGCUAGAGUCCGGAAGAGGCGAGUGGAAUUCCUGGUGUAGCGGUGGAAUGCGCAGAUAUCAGGAAGAACACCCGUGGCGAAGGCGGCUCUCUGGGACGGGUACUGACGCUGAGACGCGAAAGCAUGGGUAGCAAACAGG
rnacentral:rRNA from 1 species